CAUAACUGAAUUCAUUACUCAUUUAUCAUAUAUUGAAUGCAUAUCUUUUUUAUAUGCAGGAAGCAUUCCGUUCAUGGAGGGGUCACAUUAAAUGGAAUGCAAGCAGAUUGAAAGUGUUACGACAAAUACUGAUGAUAUUCUUUCGAGUGUACCUGAAAGAAGUUCUCACACUCUGUAGAGUACUUCCAAGUCUUUCCCCAGAAGUGAUAGAAAGAUCCGAAAACUGAAAUUAACAAUCAACUCCUUGGAAUGCAAAAUAUAUGGUACCUAUAUCGAUUAUUUGUUCAUUUAGAUUUCUGAUAAAGAUUGUACAAAUUCAACAAAUUCUUUUGCCUCAAAAAAAUUUAUUGCAUGGAAAUGAGAACUUUGAUAUAUAAUAUUCAAUAUGUACUUUUGUAUCCUUCAUUCAAAGCUGUAUUAUUUGUAUACAGGUGUUUUCAAAGGUGAGAAUUUCGACACAAUUAUUCUCACCAGUUGUACAUGUCAAAAAAACCUCACUUUUAAAUAUACCCUGAAAAAUCUUCAAUUCUGUCAUAUUUUUUUAUAAAUUUCGAAUAAAAAUAUAGCAAAUCUAA